UACGGAGGGAGCGAGCGUUGUUCGGAAUUACUGGGCGUAAAGCGCGCGUAGGCGGCUUGUCAAGUUGGAAGUGAAAUCCCGGGGCUCAACCUCGGAACUGCUUUCAAAACUGGCUCGCUAGAGAAUGGUAGGGGGUGGUGGAAUUCCCAGUGUAGAGGUGAAAUUCGUAGAUAUUGGGAGGAACACCAGAGGCGAAGGCGGCCACCUGGACCAUUACUGACGCUGAGGCGCGAAAGCGUGGGGAGCAAAC
rnacentral:rRNA from 1 species